rnacentral:rRNA from 1 species
AUUCCAGCUCCAAUAGCGUAUAUUAAAGUUGUUGCAGUUAAAAAGCUCGUAGUUGGAUUUCGGGGCGGGCCGGGCGGUCUGCCGAUGGGUAUGCACUGUUCGGCGCGUCCUUCUUUCCGGAGACCGCGCCUACUCUAGCUGAGCGGGCGUGGGAGACGGAUCGUUUACUUUGAAAAAAUCAGAGUGUUUCAAGCAGGCAGCUCGCUCUUGCAUGGAUUAGCAUGGGAUAAUGAAAUAGGACUCUGGUGCUAUUUUGUUGGUUUCGAACACCGGAGUAAUGAUUAACAGGGACAGUCAGGGGCACUCGUAUUCCGUCGAGAGAGGUGAAAUUCUCAGACCAAUGGAAGACGAACCACUGCGAAAGCAUUUGCCAGGGAUGUUUUCAUCA